UGGGGGAAGUAACGGGUACGAAAGACUCGCUAAUACCGCAAUAUGAACGAAAGUUGAAAGGAGUAAUCCGUCUAAAGAUGAGCCCGCGUCCGAUUAGCUAGUUGGUAGAGUAAAAGCCUACCAAGGCGACGAUCGGUAGCUGGUCUGAGAGGAUGAUCAGCCACAAUGGGACUGAGACACGGCCCAUACUCCUACGGGAGGCAGCAGUGGGAAUUUUACGCAAUGGGCGAAAGCCUGACGUAGCGACACCGCGUGAGCGAAGAAGCCCCUUGGGGUGUAAAGCUCUGUCAGCUGGAACGAAAAAAUGACGGUACCAGCAGAGGAAGCAUCGGCUAACUACGUG
rnacentral:rRNA from 1 species